AGCGUCAAGGUCCACCAAACUAGUAGUACCCUUUAGUACCACUAAAUAAACAACACAAAAGGAAAAAAUGAGAAGGAACGGGAGAGGAGGGGGUAUAGUAUACGACUAUACGAGAAGAAGGCAUGGAGGGAGAGGAGGCCAAAUUGCUGCUAGGAUUCCCUCCUCAUUCUCAUCCCUCUCCAUCCCAGGUGAAAACUGCUUACAAGUCCAAGGUCUGGGACACUCAUCCUGAUCGCUUUCCUCCUCAUCUCAAAUCCAACGCUGAGCAUCGUUUUAAGUUGAUAUCAGAAGCUUAUGCUUGCCUUCGAUCUGCAUCAUAUUCAAAAGUUGUGAGAAGUGGAGUUCCAAGAGCAUGUGGCAGUGGGGGGCAUCGCGCUCUGAUUGCUGCUCCCUUCCUCCUCAUUGUUCUGAGCACUGUUGCUUUUGGAGGAUCAAUUGUUACCAGGUCCUACAAAAGACAAAAGGAGGCUUAUCCUUCUCAUAACCCUUUUCUUCCUUGAUCGUAACCACCAGGCAGACCAUCUCGUUUCAGCAGUGUAUGUGUUCUUGUCCCAAAACUUUUACAUGUUAGAAGUUCAUUUUCUGCUGUCUUUGCAAUUCUAAGAGUGGAAGAUCUUGGGUGUGUGUUGUUGGCCCGGAGAUAUGGCGGAUCGAGAUAAGGUGAAAAUUAUGGUGAUCAAGAACAGGAGUCUAGCAAAUUAAAAUAAGUUGUGGACGAGGAGGCAGCAAGGGUGAUAAAGGAGAUCCUUUGGGGGAUAUUAGAAGCGUUAUUGUUGUUGGUUGGAGACCACUAACCAGGCAACUGGGACUUUAGUUUUAGAGCUAGGUGUUUCCCUGGGCUGGCUGUGGCUGAUCCUCUCUAAUGUGCAUAUGUAAAUAGUUAGCAUGCUCGUUAAAUAAAAAAAAAAACUUGUUUCAAUUUGUUUGAGGGGUGUCAAUUGUUAACCAUGUCACAUAUUUUGGUGACGCAUAUUGACAUGUAACGCAUGAGGAAAAUCACGUGAACAAAGCUCUCCUAGUGAAUGAACUGAUAUAUUGUAGGAUCAGAAUGGGGGAGCCACUGUGUAAGAUAUGUGGGGAAGAAGAGGAAACGGUGGAGCACUGAAAAAAAACAGGAGAGGUAUCACCCAUUCCACGGGUGAUACAUAGACACAUUAUAAGUACAUAUCAAUAAUUUUUAUGAUAAAAUGAUUAUUUUUGGUUUA